ACCACGGGAAAGGGGAUCUUCAGGAGCGGGUGUCUCAUGGCUGGGAAGAGGACGGCACAGGAGGGCUGGGGAACCCGAAUUGCAGCCUGAAUGGCCAGUGUCCUUUCUCCAGAAUGCAGUUCUCCCUUGCUCAGAAGAAAUGAGUCUGCCAGUGGGUACAACAUGAGAUGAUACUUCCACCCCCAUUGGUGACAGCCCUCACCUAGCUAUCAAGGUAUGCAGGGCUGACUUUUCACCUUCAGCCUGCUCCAGGGAAGGGCCAGAUGGCAUUCAGGCUGAUUCUGUGCUUCUGGCUGACUAAUCUCUCCAGGUACAAGAGUAAACAUGGAACGUGGGGACACCAUAUGUCCCUGACUCAUAGAGCUUGCAGGAAUCACCGUCAUUCUACGUGGCAUCUGCUUUCCUCGGCCGAGGUGGGAGGUGGGUCAAUGUAGCGGAGGAAACGUGUCUUAAAGUACAAGGCAGAGUGAACUGAAACAUAAAGAGAAGUGUGCACCUGGUAGUUGUAUCCUAAAUGACAUUUAUUUUCCAAAUGUGCUUUGUUUUGCUAGACAGUGUUCGACUUCCUUCACUCCUUCCAGGGGCCAGCAUGUGGCUGGCCACUGUCCACCCUCAGGGGUUGUGAACUGAAUUAAAGGGUUGCGUCCUUCAUCCAUUUUCUUUGCUGAACUGUCUUGAAUUUUACCCUAAGUUCAAAAUGAAGCAGACCAUAGCUGAGUUUAAAGGAGAUCCGAUUGACAUUGGGAAGUGGCACCCAAUAAGAUGGCUGUUUCUUCCGCCUGCUCCAGGGCUCGCCAACAGGAGAACUGAAAGCUGAAGCAUCUCAACCUGCAGAUACAUCUCAAAGGCCCCUUCAGCCGAUGUCCUCAGUGCCCUUGACACAGCCCCUUGGCACUUGCCUUCCACACACAUGCUGCUGCACCAGUUUCCUCCUGGUAGCAUCUUCCUUUCCGCCUGAGGAUUUCCCAGGCAUCCUGCCUCCAAGAAAGUCAGAAGUCAGUGCCUUCCUGAGAGCCGGUGAGAGCUCCGUCUCCCUUGGGCAAGUGGUGCUGAUGCCUGUUCCCUGCAUCCAUCUCUCAGAAGCCACAGCAGAACUGAGCUCCAGGGGCCACUGCGAGAAGCAUUUAUGGAGCUCGUGGAGUGAGGCAUCUCUUUAAUCCCUUCAGUAAGUCAGUGUGGGCCAAGGAGUCUGAGGAUCAGAGACCUUGUGACUUUUUAAGUGAAGAUUUACUAUGUGCUGGGGCCCAUUGUGUUUUAUUUUAUUGACUCGUCCCAAGCUCUAAGAGGGAGAGACCUUGAUUGUCCCAAUUUCACUGACACAGUUUGGGAAGGUUAAAACAUGAUGAAAGGAAAUAGACUGGAAUGAUACAGUAAUAUGGAAUUGAGCAUUUUCACCAACAUUUUUACAUGUUUUAAAAUGUCAUUUUCUGGCCAGGGGUGGUGGCUCACGCCUGUAACCCCAGCACUUU
rnacentral:lncRNA from 1 species